GACGAACGCUGGCGGCGUGCCUAAUACAUGCAAGUCGAACGCAUUUUCUUUCACCGUAGCUUGCUACACCGAAAGAAAAUGAGUGGCGAACGGGUGAGUAACACGUGGGUAACCUGCCCAUCAGCGGGGGAUAACACUUGGAAACAGGUGCUAAUACCGCAUAAUUCCAUUUACCGCAUGGUAGAUGGAUGAAAGGCGCUUUUGCGUCACUGAUGGAUGGACCCGCGGUGCAUUAGCUAGUUGGUGGGGUAACGGCCUACCAAGGCUGCGAUGCAUAGCCGACCUGAGAGGGUGAUCGGCCACACUGGGACUGAGACACGGCCCAGACUCCUACGGGAGGCAGCAGUAGGGAAUCUUCGGCAAUGGACACAAGUCUGACCGAGCAACGCCGCGUGAGUGAAGAAGGGUUUCGGAUCGUAAAACUCUGUUGUUAGAGAAGAACAAGGAUGAGAGUGGAAAGUUCAUCCCUUGACGGUAGCUAACCAGAAAGCCACGGCUAACUACGUG
rnacentral:rRNA from 1 species